GACGAACGCUGGCGGCGUGCUUAACACAUGCAAGUCGAGCGGUAAGGCUCCUUCGGGAGUACACGAGCGGCGAACGGGUGAGUAACACGUGAGUAACCUGCCCUUCUCAUCGGAAUAAGCGUUGGAAACGACGUCUAAUGCCGAAUAUGACAACGGAUCGCAUGAUCUGUUGUGGAAAGCUCCGGCGGAGAAGGAUGGACUCGCGGCCUAUCAGCUUGUUGGUGAGGUAAUGGCUCACCAAGGCGACGACGGGUAGCCGGCCUGAGAGGGUGGCCGGCCACACUGGGACUGAGACACGGCCCAGACUCCGACGGGAGGCAGCAGUGGGGAAUAUUGGACAAUGGGCGCAAGCCUGAUCCAGCAACGCCGCGUGAGGGAUGACGGCCUUCGGGUUGUAAACCUCUUUCAGCAGGGACGAAGCGAAAGUGACGGUACCUGCAGAGGAAGAAGGGGCUUCGGCCUUGACGGUACUUGCAGAAAAAG
rnacentral:rRNA from 1 species